rnacentral:rRNA from 1 species
UACGUAGGAUGCAAGCGUUGUCCGGAAUUAUUGGGCGUAAAGAGCGCGCAGGCGGUCUAUCAAGUCCGAUGUGAAAUAUCCCGGCUUAACCGGGGGGGGUCAUUUGAAACUGGUAGACUAGAGUACAGCAGAGGAUAGUGGAAUUCCCGGUGUAGUGGUGAAAUGCGUAGAUAUCGGGAGGAACACCAGUGGCGAAGGCGACUAUCUGGGCUGAAACUGACGCUGAGGCGCGAAGGCUAGGGGAGCAAACAGG